CGGAAAAAAAAAAGAGCGCUUUGUCCUCACCGACGGUGACUGAAGCUGCUGCGCGAGACGCUGCGGCGGCCCCCCGCCGCCCCCCGAUUCCAUCUGACGGCUCAGGUCUGCUGCCACAGAGCAGUGUUUAUUCAGCGCGUAAACAAAAGUGAAAGGAAUUAAGCGGGCAGAUCCGACAGCCCAGGGAAACGUUUCGGGCCCUUCAGCGUGGAGUUACUGCGCUCUUAGAGAAGAGGACGUUCCUACAACGGAAAGCAGGCAACCCAUCUGGCCAUUCCCAACCAAGAGACACAGAGCUCCAUGCUGGAAUAGUCAUGAGCAAAAGAUACAGAAAAUGCUGGACCCAAGAGCUGGAGACAAACGGCCCUGCCCAAGGAAAGUGCGUUACACAGCUUGCUGGCCAAGAAAGGGACCGCGUGGACCUGGGCUGCACAAAGAGCGGACCGCACGGAUUCACGGCAGCGUCUGCUGGCGGUCCUCGCCUUGCCUCGGGGGGCGCGGGGACCCCCGCGGGACAUAAACAAGCGGGGAGGUGAGGGUGCGAGACGGGGCUGCGCAGAGGAAGCU